GAGUUUGAUCCUGGCUCAGAUUGAACGCUGGCGGCAUGCCUUACACAUGCAAGUCGAACGGCAGCACGGGAGCUUGCUCCUGGUGGCGAGUGGCGAACGGGUGAGUAAUGCAUCGGAACGUAUCCUGGAGUGGGGGAUAACGUAGCGAAAGUUACGCUAAUACCGCAUAUUCUGUGAGCAGGAAAGCGGGGGACCUUCGGGGCCUCGCGCUCUUGGAGCGGCCGAUGUCGGAUUAGCUAGUUGGUGAGGUAAAGGCUCACCAAGGCGACGAUCCGUAGCAGGUCUGAGAGGAUGAUCUGCCACACUGGAACUGAGACACGGUCCAGACGUCCUACGGGAGGCAGGCAGUGGGGAAUUUUGGACAAUGGGGGCAACCCGUGAUCCAGCCAUGCCGCGUGAGUGAAGAAGGCCUCGGUUGUAAG
rnacentral:rRNA from 1 species